rnacentral:rRNA from 1 species
GAUGAACGCUGGCGGCGUGCCUAAUACAUGCAAGUCGAGCGAACGGACGAGAAGCUUGCUCCUCUGCUGUUAGCGGCGGACGGGUGAGUAACACGUGGAUAACCUACCUCUUAUACUGGGAUAACUUCGGGAAACCGUAGCUAAUACCAGAUAAUAUUUUGAACCGCAUGGUUCAAAAGUGAAUGACGGUCUUGCUGUCACUUAUAGAUGGAUCCGCGCUGCAUUAGCUAGUUGGUAAGGUAACGGCUUACCAAGGCAACGAUGCAUAGCCGACCUGAGAGGGUGAUCGGCCCCACUGGAACGGAGACACGGUCCAGACCCCUACGGGAGGCAGCAGGAGGAAAUCUGGCGCAAGGGGCGAAAGCCUGACGGAGCAACGCCGCGUGGGUGAUGAAGGUCUUCGGUUCGUAAAACUCUGUUAUUAGGAAAAAACACAUGUGUAAGUAACUGUGCACAUCUGGACGGUACCUAAGCAGAAAGCCACGGCUAACUACGG